CCUGCAGGCCGGCCAGCAUUACACCACUGGCUACAACAGGUGAGAGGGGAGGGGCUGCAUGGGCUGACCUGCGGAACUCGCAGCCUCAAGGUAUCGGACUCCUGCCAGGAGGAGAGGCAUCUCAUCCAGGAUCAGGUCCUAGCAGGAAGGCUGCUUCUGAAUGGCUGCUUGUUGAGGGGAGGGAAGAGCUAACAGGACCGAAGAGCUGGGAUGGCUUAGUGGUUAGAGUGGUCUCCCUGGCGAUCAGGGUUCAAACCCUCCCUGCACCUCAUAACAAAAAUCCUGGCUAUGCCCAUGAUCUCCUCAGUGAUUAAUGAUUCCCUCAUGGGGGAGGCGUUGUGGGUUAAACCACAGAGCCUAAGACUUGCCGAUCAGAAGGUCGGCAGUUCGAUUCCCCGCGACGGGGUGAGCUCCCGUUGCUCGUCCCUGCUCCUGCCAACCUAGCAGUUCGAAAGCACGUCAAAGUGCAAGUAGAUAAAUAGGUACCGCUCCAGCGGGAAGGUAAACGGCGUUUCCGUGCGCUGCUCUGGUUUGCCAGAAGCGGCUUAGUCAUGCUGGCCACAUGACUCGGAAGCUGUACGCCGGCUCCCACGGCCAAUAAAGUGAGAUGAGUGCCACAACCCCAGAGUUGGCCACGACUGGACCUAAUGGUCAGGGGUUCCUUUACCUUUACAUGGGGGAGGGCGGUUUACACCAGGACCAGCUUGCUUUGUCACCAUUAGAGUAAACACAAGCAGAAGCUGUCCACACUCAGGCCUACGGAAAAGAGGGGCUCGUCCGCAGAAAAAGCUGUAUACACCUGUUGUAAACAAAACCUGCCCUUUUUCCCUUAUGGGGUAUCCAAAACCCUGUAUAGCAUCCUAGGUUCCCUAGGUCUACAAUAGAAAUCUGGGUGCCUUAUCUCCUGUCUGGCAGGUUAUCUGAUAAUGCCUUAUCUGAUUGCCUUUCCUGGUAGUCUGUCACCCUUUGAAAUGGUGAAUACUCAAUUCCUGUAACAAGGAAGGUUUUCUUUUCACCUCCUUCCCUCCUUGCAGAGAAAACAUUUGGUCAGCUUGGGAGUCAAGGUGGUUUCAGGACUAUCUUCCUGUGCUGCUUCAGACAUGUGGUUUAUAUAUUUAUGUACGUAUUUGCUUGGUACAUUUAUGAACAUUUAUUAUAUAUUUAGGACCUUAAAAUUCUUAUUACACUCCCCAGAUCAAGGGAAGUCAUAGUUCUGCUCUGUUCUUCCUUGGUCAGACCACACUUGGAAUACCGUGUCCAAUUCUGGGCACCACAAUUUAAGAAGGAGGUUGACAAGCUGGAAGGUGUGCAGAGGAGGGCUACCAAGAUGAUCAAGGGUCUGGAAGCCAAGCCUUAUGAGGAGUGGUUGAAGGAGCUGGGUAUGUUUGACAGUGGAAUGGUCUCCCUCAGAAGGUCAUUAUGGACAGCCCCACCGCAAGUGCUUAGAGUUGCUGGAGACCCUUUCUCACCAGUCCCCUCCACCCUGGAAAGAAGGAGGGGUUGCUAAACCACUCAAGGUGGGGACGUCUCCUAGCAACUCUCAGGACCCUCAACAAACUAUGCUUCCCAGGAUUCUUUGGAGGAAGCCAGGACUCUUUAAAGUGGCCUAAUCCUGUUUGCAUAUGCAGCACAGGUGUGGUCUGGGGCAUGUGUUGUCUUUUACCUUUCUUUUCGGAAUAACAUUUGGGGGGGGUUAUUAACAAGGAUUGUAGGAAUAAUGAAAGAUACAGAUAAAUAGACUUGAGUCUUUUCAUGCCAUUUGUAUCACAAAAAUAGCAGGAGGAUCUCCGACAUAUAGUUCAUUAUUGCUGGUCGCUGUAUGAGUUCUUGGCUGGUGAAUUAAACAGAAGCAGAAAAAAUGGAGACAGG